GAUAACCAUCCUCCAAGUUGGCAAGGGGACAGCAACAGAGAAACCCAAGCGGGGAUGCCCAGACUCUGACCAGUGCCUCACUGGGAGCGGAGCCCGGCUCAGCUUUCCUGGAGAUGGCACCACGAUGGGGAACACCGUGUUGCAGUGGUUAUCACCAGUGCCACCACCAAAGCAGUCCCAUUGCACGUCGCAGCUGCACAGGGCAGGAGCAGUGACCUCCCAGGACAGCACGGGCUGGCAGAAGCACCAGCAUAAGUCACCCAUCAUACCUCCAGCACCCAGAAGCCACGACAAAGCCAAGGUAUUGCUCUGCCUCUUGUGGCUUUUUUUCCAAACCCACCUCUGACAUCUCCAGGGCUCCUCCCCCAUCCCUCCUGUCCUCCCCUGCUCCUUCCUUCUCCCAUCCACAUCCCUCAUUUACUUUCCCUAAAUGUUUCCACUUGCACCCUCCCCCGGUGCAGGCUGACCCUGUCCAGGAUGCUGCAAUGCCAAGAGGAGCAAACCCUGGAGAAGGGACAGCAUGUCCAGGACCCCCCCACCCCAAAAUCUCCCUCUAAUCCAGGCAUCUUUGUUCAAGACUCCCCUGCUAUGUCCCCUCCCUGCAGAGUUUACGGGAUGGGACAGGCUACAAGAGGUCAGACCAUGCCCACAUCCCUGUGACUUGCUCCAGAUCCCAGUAACUGGAAAAACAAACCCACUCCAGGGCUGUCCCACAAUGGCCCAGCUGCACCCUCCCCUGCUGCCACCAGGGAGCAUCAUGGGGACAUUUAAGCGCCAGGAUUCCCAAAUCCUGCGCCAGGAUUUGGGAAGAUGCCUUUUUUCUCAUGGUCCUCAGUGUCCCCGAUGUCCCCACAGAUAUGGCCCAGGUCUGUUUUGGAUGCAUGGGCUCCAGCUGCCACGCGUGCCUGCUGCGAGGGAUGGGGCAUGUGGGCACUGCUCCCCGUCCUGACCUACAUCUGCUGCUCGUGCCAACACAACAGGGACACGUGUGUAUUUUUGCAGGUGAAGGCCACCACACCCAGCCCCUGUGACCCAGCGGGGGCUGAUUCUGGUGGUGGCUUUUGCUGUGAUGGGCUGCUUCCAUCUCCUGGGGUUUGGAGGUGGCAGAGAUCCCAGGGGGUCUAUGGCCAACGUGGAGGUCCCGUGCUCCCUCCAAGGCACGGUGCUUCGGAAGGAGGAGGACAUCCUAAGGGCUGAAUGAAGAGACUGUCCCCACUGCAAUGGAACCAGUGCACAGAGAGAGCCCCCCUCCAUCCACGGGCUGGAAACAUCCCAGGAUCCUGCAGCAUCCUUCCUCCCCGGCCCCUGCAAAGCCCUCGGGAUCCCGUGGGUGGUGGAACGCUGCAGGAAUGCACUGGGAUGUGCAGCGCUCAGAGCUCACCCAGCCCUGGGUGCCGCCAAGGCUGAGAAGCUGAUUUAAUUUCACAACCUGCAAAGCCCUUGGGGAGGCAAACCUGGCCAGGCCCCGGGUGCCAGGGCUGCCUAUUUCCUACCCCUGGCUGCACGACCUCAAAACCAAAGCACCCUGCAAAAACCUGCACCGUCCUGCAAGCCAGACCUGCACCCACCCUGCCACCUGCAUGGGCCAAUGUGCCCACAGUGUUCCCUUUCCCAGUGCCCAUGUCACCUCCUGCUUGGAGGGCGCAGGAACCCAUGUCCUUUGCACCCCAGCACAGAAGGAUGAGGGGGACAGAGGGAGAAGCCAGCAGCCCGACAUCUGAUCCCAGCUGCUCCGGUGUAAACUUAGCAUGGCCUUUUGGAAAGUACUUGCCGUGGCAAAACACGCCGUAAAUUACUGUUCUGGAUGCCAACAAUAUUUCGAGAUUAGCAAAUCUUACAGAGCUCCUCGGGUACGAGCUGGAUUUGGGGUUGAGGUUUGCAGCCCCACCAGCAGAACUGGGGGGCUCUCACCACCCCGCUGCCCCCUGGGGCAGGUGGCACUGAGCUGCAAAUGCACUGCGGAGGGAGAUGGGGACAGGUCUGGGCCAGUAUCACGCGUGGGGCUGCAGGUCUCCCAUGGGUGCCUCCCCCCCAGCUGCCCCAGCACUGCCCCACGUCCUCCAGGGGCUGAGCCACCUCCAUCCCCACCUCCAUCACCCCACAGUGCCCAGCACCGCCAGCACUGGGCAGGUGACACAGUCACGGUGCUUUGGGGCAGCAAAGCCCAGAGCUUUGCAAAGGCGACCCAUGGGGCUGGACCCUGCUGCUGCCACCUGUCCCCACCCCUGCCACGGGUUUCUCCAGCUCAGCUGAGGGCUAAUUCUGCCCCACAGCCCUCUGUCCAUGGGGCAAAGAGGAGGGAGAAGUGCAGAAAAAGAGGCAGUGGGCACCCAGGGGUUAAACCAGGUGCACCCAGGUGGGAAGCCAGCGCAGGCAUUGCAUGCUGCAAUUAACCCCUGCAACACCCCCAAGGCCAAACAGCCCAAAGUUGAUGUUUUAACCCAAGAUCAGCUCCUGGCUCGGUACGGGGCAGCUGGGGAAGGUCUUGUGCUACACCUGAAGCUGUUGCAGCUCAGCCUUUUCCAUCUAUGGGUGCCUGCACGCAGCCAGUGGUGCCAGCCCGGCCGUGGGGCUGUAAGCUGAGACGGCUCUGCACCUCCUGACCAUCAAACUGCCCCAGAAAGGAGCGGAUUCCCUGCACUAUAUUUGCAGGGGGCUGCAGCUCAGCACCAGUCCUGCCUGAGCUCCCUCUGCUGAUCACCCCCCUUUGAGGAAUACUGAGGGCAGAUUGAAAUGCUUGGGGUUAAAUCCAUCUCGGUGCAAGGAAAAGCAGCAAGGCUGGCUUGGGUUUGCACCCUCCUCUGAAAGAAAUGGGCUCUAAAAACUAAAGGAUGAGGCUUUCUUUCAUGCAAGGAUGCGCAGUUCUGGGGGCUGUGAGUUGGACGCAGGGCUCUCUGCACCCUGGGUGUGGGAGCAGUGGGGCUUGGGGCUGUACAGGAUGCAUCUCACUAAGAAGCCCCAUUUUUGGUGUCCCAUGAGGGUUGGCAUCACUUGUCCUCACCCAGACUGGGGCUGCUGUGUUGGCUGUAGGAUGACACAUCCCCACGUGCUCUCAAUGUAGCAGAAAUGCUAAGUUGCAGCUUGAAGCAGUGAUGGAGCACCUGGUGGGAAGGCAGGGCCAGCCCAGGGGAGCUCAGGUGCAUGCAAUGUACCUGAGUGACAUGGAGCCAGGAUCCAGCCCUUCCCAGACCUCAUUUAAGGGCUGGCAGUGGAGGUGAGGGGAUCUCACUGGAGAUCUCUGUGCACCUGAGGUCCUCUAAUGCGCGCAUUCAUCAGCACCGGGGCUGCGAAGGAAGAACAAAGCCGAACAAAAGAAGGCACAAAGCUCCGCGGGCUCCGGUCGGUGAAGCAGAACGGUUUUGGCUGCGCACCCACCGCGGGCAGCAGCGCCCACAAUGCGCCCGUUUGUUGGCACGGGGGGUGCUGGGGUUCCUGCAGAAACGAGCUCUCAGUGGGAGGAUUCCGAGUUCAGCAGAGCACGGUUGGCUGGGUUGUGGCCGGGGCACAAAGGGACAGUGUUCCUCGGGAGCAGGGAGCUUCGGGGCUGGGAACACAGCACAGAAACCGUCAGAGCAGGGAGGCGAUAGCGAAGCAAGGUCACGCUUGGCUUAAAGGGAGCAAGCAGGAAAGAGCUGUGCAUAUGGAGAGAGGAGGGGAAGGAAAAAAAAAAAGCAACCACCAAACAAGGAAUUCGGGGAUUUCUUCUGGCUGAAAUCAACGAUUGCCGUCCCAGGGUGGCUCCGUUUUCCAGGAAAGGAGGGAUUUUCCUCUAAAAUCGAAAGGGAAAACCCCUAAAUUUUUAUUCUCCUGCUGUGCCAACAGGAAAUGUCUCCUGGGAGCAGCACACAAUCCUGCUGCCGUCUGCUCCGGGAAGCACAAAUGCUCUGCCGCCCCCUCGAGAUCAGCCUGAAACUCCCCCCACCCCCAGACCCACAGCUCCCGAUGGCCCCAGUGGGGAACGAGACAUCAGCAGGGGCGAAAGGAGGCUGCUUGG